GCCCCGGUGCUUGCACUGGGUGACCCGAGUGGCGAACGGGUGAGUAACACGUGACCAACCUGUCCUAGGGUGAGGGACAACCCGGGGAAACCUGGGCUAAUACCGCAUGAUGUCACGCAAACGCAUGUGCGUGUGACCAAAGAUGGCCUCUGCUUGCAAGCCAUCGCCCAAGGAGGGGGUCGCGGCGUAUCAGUUAGUUGGUAGGGUAACGGCCUACCAAGACGACGACGCGUAGCGGAUCUGAGAGGAUGAUCCGUCACAUUGGGACUGAGAUACGGCCCAGACUCCUACGGGAGGCAGCAGUGGGGAAUAUUGCGCAAUGGGCGAAAGCCUGACGCAGCGACGCCGCGUGUGGGAGGAAGCCUUUCGGGGUGUAAACCACUGUCAGGGGGGAAGAACAGCGUCCAUGUCGAAUAGGCAUGGCGUUUGACGGUACCCUCAAAGGAAGCGCCGGCUAACUCCGUGCCAGCAGCCGCGGUAAGACGGAGGGCGCAAGCGUUGUUCGGAAUUACUGGGCGUAAAGCGCGGGCAGGUUGUCCGUUAAGUCGUCUGUGAAAACCCGGGGCUCAACCCCGCGGAAUGCAGACGAUACUGGCGGGCUGGAGAUCGGUAGAGGCUAGCGGAAUUCCU
rnacentral:rRNA from 1 species